AGUCUGGAGACAGGGAAGAUCCUCCGGACAGAGCCAGUACCACAACUGGGCCACAUGGAGUACCAGCUGCUCAAGUUCUUCAUCCUGCUUAUCGUCCUGCUCGUCAUGUCCUCCUGUUACCUGGCCUUCCGUGUGUGUUGUCUAGAGCAGCAGCUGUCCUUCCUUAACACACAUCCCACAAUGCCCAUGAGAGAGAGGUAACACUUGCUGUAUGCUGCGUCAACAUUGGACAGAUGGUCUGUCAGUCACGGAGGUACUCCUGGCUAUUGGGCAAACAGAGACUCUGUUUGUUUACCUGUUCACUCUGUCCCACCCUGUAGGUGUGGAGAAGUGCCCUGCUGGUUCAAUGAAAAGACAAUGACUUGAGAAAAUCCAAGACCUGAAGCCAAAACUGCAGUUAAAUAGACAGUCCAAUAGGGGGUGCCAGAGAGACAAGAAUCCUCUUGUCGUUCCCUAGAAAGACUAUGGACUGCAGACAAAAGACUGGAAUGGAAGGAGGAGGAUAGAGGAGGAUUGGAAUUAGACGACUACAGAGUAGGUGUCAAUGGGACAGUGCCAAUGGAGUUCACCUGACCUUUGACCUCAAUGUCCUUGUUUUACUCAGAUUCUGCCAUGGAACUUUACAAUACCAGUCAACUGAUCAGACACUUCCUGGUCCAGGAUUUUAGAGACAGAGCCUGUUGUCAGAGACAGAGCCUGUUGUCAGAGACAGAGCCUGUUGUCAGAGACAGAGCCGUUUUCAACAGGAAUAGACUGUACCCAGUAGGAGAGUUGCUACGAGAGAGACUGAAGAAAGAUUGAAUAUGAGAAGGCAUUCCGAUCAGGAACUCAACCUGACCUGGUCAACCAUUUCCAACCGUAGCCCACCUUGCAAUGUUUACUGAGCAUGGUCACUGAGACAUAACCACUCCUGAAACACUAAGGAAAAAUAGAAACCAUUUCAAUGGACACUAUUACCAGAGGUUUAACAUUUCUGUCAGAAUUUGAAGAUGCUGUGCUAGAGUUAUAGCUGUCUUGUCAUGCCAACUGAAAACAUGAUACUGUGUGUGUCAGGUGAGGUUGUGAAAGUGUGUAUGUAUGUGUGUGUCUUGUGUGUGUUUGAGUGUAUUAACCAUUAUUUGUGUGACUUAACAAGUGGCUAGGACUGUCUCAAGGUAGUUGGUAGCUUCUCCAUCUGAUAAGCCAUGACGUCUGCGUCAUGUCAUGUAAUACUAGAUAUUGACUGAAUUGUAAAGGGAUUGUCUGUGACACUGUGUUGGAUGGAGUGGAACUUUGGAAGUGAACUGCGAGAAAGCAGUGAAACUAUUCAGAGAGAGAGAGGAAAGAAAGACAAAGAGACAGAGAGACAGGAGACAGAGAGGAGACAGAGAGGAGAGAGC